UACGUAGGGUCCGAGCGUUGUCCGGAAUUACUGGGCGUAAAGGGCUCGUAGGCGGCCAACUAAGUCGGACGUGAAAUCCCCAGGCUCAACCUGGGAACUGCGUCCGAUACUGGAUGGCUUGAAUCCGGGAGAGGGAUGCAGAAUUCCAGGUGUAGCGGUGAAAUGCGUAGAUAUCUGGAGGAAUACCGGUGGCGAAGGCGGCAUCCUGGACCGGCAUUGACGCUGAGGAGCGAAAGCCAGGGGAGCAAACGGG
rnacentral:rRNA from 1 species